UACGUAGGGUGCGAGCGUUAUCCGGGUUUAUUGGGUUUAAAGGGUGCGUAGGUGGUUUCUUAAGUCGGUGGUGAAAGUUUGUCGCUCAACGAUAAAAUUGCCAUUGAAACUGGGGAACUUGAGUAUGUUUGAGGUAGGCGGAAUGCGUGGUGUAGCGGUGAAAUGCGUAGAUAUCACGCAGAACUCCAAUUGCGAAGGCAGCUUACUAAACCAUAACUGACACUGAAGCACGAAAACGUGGGUAUCAAAC
rnacentral:rRNA from 1 species